AGCUUGUUUUGCGCAGGCGGAACUCGACCGCCCGCUCAAGCCAUGAUCGGCUUCAUCGACGUCAAAGGGCUGCUUACGGUGUCGAGUUGAUCUGCAGGGUGCUGCCGAUCGUGCCG
rfam:Loktanella vestfoldensis SKA53 scf_1099451320118 genomic scaffold, whole genome shotgun sequence.